GGGCCGUUAGCUCAGCUGGCAGAGCAGCUGACUCUUAAUCAGCGGGUCGGGCGUUCGAUCCGCCCACGGCCUACCA
rnacentral:tRNA from 1 species